rnacentral:rRNA from 1 species
UACGUAGGGACCGAGCGUUGUCCGGAUUCAUUGGGCGUAAAGAGCUCGCAGGCGGCUGCUCAAGUCGAAUGUGAAAACUCGAGGCUCAACCUCGAGCCUGCAUUCGAUACUGGGCGGCUAGAGUCUGGUAGGGGGAUCUGGAAUUCCUGGUGUAGCGGUGGAAUGCGCAGAUAUCAGGAGGAACACCGGUGGCGAAGGCGGGAUCCUGGGCCAGUACUGACGCUGAGGAGCGAAAGCGUGGGGAGCAAACAGG